GACGAACGCUGGCGGCGUGCUUAACACAUGCAAGUCGAACGGAGUGGGAACGGGUGAGUAACACGUGGGUAACCUCCCAUCAGAGGGGAUAACACUUGGAAACAGGUGCUAAACCGAUACUGAUGGAUGGACCCGCGGUGCAUUAGCUAGUGGGUGAGGUAACGGCUCACCAAGGCCACGAUGCAUAGCCGACCUGAGAGGGUGAUCGGCCACACUUGGACUGAGACACGGCCCAGACUCCUACGGGAGGCAGCAGUGGGGAAUAUUGCACAAUGGGCGCAAGCCUGAUGCAGCCAUGCCGCGUGUAUGAAGAAGGCCUUAGGGUUGUAAAGUACUUUCAGCGGGGAGGCGUUACCCGCAGAAGAAGCACCGGCUAACUCCGUGCCAGCCGCCGAGGUAAUUC
rnacentral:rRNA from 1 species